rnacentral:lncRNA from 10 species
GUGGGUGACGCGGCUGCCGCGCCCGCUGGCCUUGCACCCGGGCGCCACGGCGUCCUCUCUGUGGAAAACAACAGGCGGGCGGGUGAGCGGGCUGCUCCGCAGCGGGGCGUGGGCACGGCCUGGGCAGAGCCGGGGGCUCUUGGCAACCUCUUGUCUCCCGCGCCUCCCUCCACCUGCCCUCGUCUCUCUCCCUCGGCCUCGACCUACUGUCCUUUGUGACCCUUCCUGGGUCGGCGACCCUGCAGCGGUCCCGGAGCCAGCAUCCCCAUCCUCCAGACAGGGCUUGUCCACGCGUAUCUGGAGAGCCCUGCAGGCAGCCCCCUCCAGGCCCCUGCAAUCCCUUUCUGAUGUUUCGCAGGCCCAGAAGAAGCUCCAGGCCAAGAGAACAACAGCUCAUUCCUGAGAUAAGGAUCCUGCUGCCAUCUGCCAGAUCCUGAGGCUGCUCAAGGCAAGCCAGGGAUGAGCCAGAACUCGGCUGAGAGCAGAGGCUCCACCCUGGAGAAGCACCGCUGGAAGCACCCACACAGGAAGGACUCUCUCCAUGCCAUAGGAGCCUGCCAGGCAGGAUGGACUAGAUGGCUCCAAGAAGGAACCCUUCCUCCCUUCCUCUGGCUCCAGGAGUGGCUGCAGGGCUCUAGCCACAUCUGGCCACUUGAUGCCACGGCUGACCAGACAUGCUCAGUAAGGGGCCGCAGUCCGACACAGCUCCCGGGGUGUGUGCUAGAUGUGCCUCUCCAGCUUGUGACACAGGAAAACUGCUGCAGAGUGAGAGUCUUCUAAAUGGAUUAAGAAGCCUAUCUCAAUCCCUCUGGAGAGUCCUCUUCAAUUCACAAUGAAGAUGUUGAAGAGCAGGGACAGACAUCAACACUCCUCUCCCCACCUUCCCCACUGGCAGAGGCAUUCAGGUCACUACUAGUGUCUCUCUUUCUCUUUUCCCCUUCUCUUAAUCUCUCACUGCCCUUCUCUCCAUGUCAUAUUCUCUUUUUCUCCUUCCCUCUCUUCCUUCUUACCUACUAAACUCCAUAUGUACCAAAAUCAGUCAAAGCUCUACUAUCUAGCUCUCUUUAUCUAGACUAAAGGAGUUGUCCACCUCUUGGUCUAGAUAACACUUGCAAAUAAAGACCUGCUCGUUUCCCAAAGCUAAGUAAUUGUUUUAGUUGAGCAACUGGGAAAGGAGGAUGGUUUUGUGUUGUACUCUGAUGCUAUUAUCCUUGGAUGGAGCGGGGAAGAUGUUGCUAUUGUCUGCAAGCUUAGCCCAUCAGCCCUGCAAUGUUUCCAUCAUGGAGCUCAACUGAGCAACUAUUGCACUCUCUGCAGCUGAGCCUCCCUUUUGACAUUAUAACAGAUUUUAAACACUGUGAAGACAUGAGAGAUUCUAGGGUGGAAGAAGCUAGGUGUCCCUGUUUACAUAGGCCCCACUAGAUCCCAAAGCUCUGCAGCUCAGGUCUCAGAAUUCCCCUUUGUCUUCAGUCUGAGAGUUACCUACGAGAGCAAGGUUACUCAGCAGAAGCUUUGCCCUGAGCUACAUUUUUGGGCCUCUGCCUGCAGGUGGCAUCAACUUGAAAGGACUUGUUGAGGAUUACCUUGAUAUCUCCAAAGAGGCUCUCAUCCACCUCAGAGCUCACGGCUUUGGUCCGAUAGCGAGCCUUAUUCCUUGACCUGUUGGAAGCGGCAGAAGAGGAGCUCAGGAUGCCAGCUGUGCUUAGUGGCUGCAGGAAGAGGCAGAAAGUUUGGGUCAUCAGUACUGAGUGGCAUCCAGACCCUGGGAAGUCAACAAUUCACCAGCCCAUGCUGGGGGAGUGGGUGGGCAUGUGAAAAAGAAACAGUUAGGGAAAGCGGCUGUGUAAACUCUGAACCAUAGGGGACAAGGAGCAACAGAUGGAGGGCAUCCCCACAGAGCAGGGAAGGGUCUCUGCAAAAAAAAGAGCUCUGCAUAAAGCAGCAUUUGUGUAAAACAGUUGAUCUCAUAGAAGUACAGAGUAGAAUGGUGGUUACCAGAGGCUGAAGAGAGGAAGGGGAGGGGCAUGGGGAGAGGUUGGUCAGUGAGUGCGCAGUUACAGUUAGAUAGGAGGAAUAAGUUCUGGUGCUCUAUUGCACAGAAAGGCCACUAUAGUUAAUAAUAAUGUACUGUAUAUCUCAAAAGAGAUACACAAUAUCUAGGAGAGGAUUUUGAGAAAUAUAAAUGUUAUAAGAUUAAAUGAGAUGGCAAGGUCUAGUAUUU